rnacentral:rRNA from 1 species
GAUGAACGCUGGCGGCAUGCCUAAUACAUGCAAGUCGGGCGAACGGACGAGAUGCUAGUUUCGCAGAGGUUAGUGGCGGACGGGUGAGUAACACGUGGAGAACCAACAUAUAAGACUGGGAUAACUACGGGAAACUGGAGCGAAGACCGGAAAAUAGUUUGAACCGCAUGGUUCAAAAGUGAAUGACGGUCUUGCUGUUACUGAAAGAGCGAACCGCGCUGAAGAAGCGAGUUGGUACGGUAACGGCUUACCAAGGCAACGAUGCAUAGCCGACCUGAGAGAUUAAUAGGCCCCACUGGAACUGAGACACGGUCCAGACUCCUACGGGAGGCAGCAGUAGGGAUUCUUCCGCAAUGGCCGAAAGCCUGACGGAGCAACGCCCCAUGAGUGAUGAAGGUCUUCGGAUCUUAAAACUCUGUUAUUAGGGAAGAACAUAUGUGUAAGUAACUGUGCACAUCUUGACGGUACCUAAUCAGAAAGCCACGGCUAACUCCGUG